rnacentral:rRNA from 1 species
GACGAACGCUGGCGGCGUGCUUAACACAUGCAAGUCGAACGGAAAGGCCCUGCUUUUGUGGGGUGCUCGAGUGGCGAACGGGUGAGUAACACGUGAGUAACCUGCCCUUGACUUUGGGAUAACUUCAGGAAACUGGGGCUAAUACCGGAUAGGAGCUCCUGCUGCAUGGUGGGGGUUGGAAAGUUUCGGCGGUUGGGGAUGGACUCGCGGCUUAUCAGCUUGUUGGUGGGGUAGUGGCUUACCAAGGCUUUGACGGGUAGCCGGCCUGAGAGGGUGACCGGCCACAUUGGGACUGAGAUACGGCCCAGACUCCUACGGGAGGCAGCAGUGGAGAAUAUUGCACAGUGGGCGGAAGCCUGAUGCGACAACGCCGCGUGCGGGAUGACGGGCUUCGGGUUGUAAACCACUUUCGCCUGUGACGAAGCGUGAGUGACGGUAAUGGGUAAAGAAGCACCGGCUAACUACGUG